AACGCUAGCUACAGGCUUAACACAUGCAAGUCGAGGGGCAGCAUGUAUCCGGCUUGCCGGAUACGAUGGCGACCGGCGCACGGGUGAGUAACGCGUAUCCAACCUGCCCCGUACACGGGGAUAGCCUUCCGAAAGGGAGAUUAAUACCCGAUGAUGUCAGGAGUUCGCAUGUAAACCUGACUAAAGUUAUUACGGUACGGGAGGGGGGUGCGUUCCAUUAGGUAGUAGGCGGGGUAACGGCCCACCUAGCCAACGAUGGAUAGGGGUUCUGAGAGGAAGGUCCCCCACAUUGGAACUGAGACACGGUCCAAACUCCUACGGGAGGCAGCAGUGAGGAAUAUUGGUCAAUGGCCGCGAGGCUGAACCAGCCAAGUAGCGUGAAGGAUGACGGCCCUACGGGUUGUAAACUUCUUUUAUAAGGGGAUAAAGGGUCCCACGCGUGGGACGUUGCAUGUACCUUAUGAAUAAGCAUCGGCUAACUCCGUGCCAGCAGCCGCGGUAAUACGGAGGAUGCGAGCGUUAUCCGGAUUUAUUGGGUUUAAAGGGAGCGUAGACGGGGGUCUAAGUCAGCUGUGAAAGUUCGGGGCUCAACCUUGGAAUUGCAGUUGAAACUGUUCCCCUUGUGUUCAGUCGCGGUAUGCGGAAUUCGUGGUGUAGCGGUGAAAUGCAUAGAUAUCACGAAGAACUCCGAUUG
rnacentral:rRNA from 1 species